rnacentral:rRNA from 1 species
CAACUUUAUACUGUGCUACUGCGAAUGGCUCAUUAUAUCAGUUAUAGUUUAUUUGAUGAUGACUUACUACUUGGAUAACCGUAGUAAUUCUAGAGCUAAUACAUGCGUAAAACCCCGACUUCGCGGAAGGGGCGUAUUUAUUAGAUAACAAACCAAUACGGGGCAACUCGGUAUUGCGGUGAAUCAUAAUGACUGUUCGAAUCGCAGUGGCCUUGCGCCGGCGAUGGAUCAUUCAAGUUUUUUUUCUAUCAGCUUUCGAUGGUAGGGUAUUGGCCUACCAUGGCAUUAACGGGUGACGGAGAAUUAGGGUUCGAUUCCGGAGAGGGAGCCUGAGAAACGGCUACCACAUCCAAGGAAGGCAGCAGGCGCGCAAAUUACCCAAAUCCUGGCACAGGGAGGUAGUGACAAGAAAUAACAAUACAGGGCCCACUGGGUCUUGUAAUUGGAAUGAGUACAAUUUAAAUCCCUUAACGAGGAUCAAUU